CCGCGUCUGUGUAUAUAAAAGCUCAUCGUCUCACUUUCUCUCUCCGCGUUCCACUUACUAAAUUUGGAGCUGACCUGCCUCUCGUGCUACCCCGCCUCAGCAUUUUCCCGAGAAAGUUUUGCCGAGAAAGUUCGAAUUUUAGAAAUUUUCUAUCGAAAAUUGGAAUGGGUGUGAAAGUAGCAUACACUUCUCCAUUCCUUCAAUGGGCGGCUCAUCCUUCUUCUUCUUCUCAAACCCUAGCUUCCAGAGCCAUCUCAUCUCCUUCAAAACGACGUCACAACGCGCCGUUUCCAUCCUGUCAGAGACUGAACCGCUCAGCUCUCUUCGGAACUCCUACAAAGCUCCAUCGCUCCAAGUCCUGCGAGCUAUGGCAACCAUCCACACCGACAAGGACUCAUUCGAUUCGAAGAGUCUCUAGCGCAAGCCUAGAUCCCUUCUGGGACGAAGAGUUCUCCAAGAAGAUCCAAGAGCUAACUCUCAGAUUCCACGACGAGAGAAAACAAAUGGAUUCAAUCGAGAUCGAAAUGAAAGCGAACAGUGUGGACCUUCCUCUCUCGAUUCGUAUGAUAAAGAAGAAGAGAAAAUGGGAGGAAGGAGUCAAGAAGAGCAACGCCUUCUCGUCGAUGAGCAAGGCCUUCUCCUCGAUGGUGUUCAUGAUCCGAGAGCUCCAGAGCUUCACUCUGCACAUGAGAGAGGUUCUCUUCUACGAAGACUUGCAAGGGAUCUUGCUUAGAGUUAGAGAAGAGAUGCACGCUUCCUUCGUUUGGCUGUUCCAGCAGGUCUUCUCCGCCACCCCUACCUUGAUGGUCUAUGUGAUGAUACUCCUCGCGAACUUCACCGUUUAUUCUAUCAGUAGCAACUCUGCUUUAGCCGCAGCCGCAGCCGCUCCUCCUCCGACCACCACCACCGUGACAGAGCUAACAACCGAGAAGUUCGAUUCAUCAUCGGUUGUCAAAACGUUCUUUGUAUCGUCUCCCAACGGGAAUACGGCUUCCCUGGGCGGCAACAACAAUGGCGGCGGCGGCGGGAACAUCCGGCCGGUGUUGAGCGGAACUGAUGGCGAUGAUGGAUCAGAACAGUUCAGAACAAGCAUACCCGAAGGAGUCUCGUCAACGCUCGGGUCAACGACAACAGAGUCAGAGGAGACAUCAGUGUCGGGACAAGACGAACUCAGGCUGUGGAAUUCGGUUGUGGAGGAAGCAGAGCAAAUGCAGUUUUCAAAUACAGACGAUGCACUGUUGGAUCACGGGACGAGGAAGCGGUUCGUGUCUCCUUUGGAUGCUCGAGUAGAAGAAGCAGAUGAGGACAUUCAUUACUUCAGAACAGAGCUUCUCUACCAAACAGGACUGUCUCAAGAGCCUAAUAAUCCUCUGCUUCUCGCUAACUAUGCUCAGUUCCUCUACAUCGUCUCUAAUGACUAUGACAGCAGAAUAUAUUCGACCAAGAGAGUUGAACCAUUUCUUUUCCUCUUGGAGUAAUAAGACAGUGCAUAAAAAUAUCUAGCGGGGAAUAAAUAAAGACAUAAGAUUAGUUCAAGCCAAUGAGCUUCGAGUCUUUGAGGGCUGAUGAUAGUGGAGUUUACGGUGGAGCUUUAAAGACACCCCACCAGAAUCCAACAAGUUAAAAGAGCAGAAGAAUACUUCAAAAGAGCGGUAGAAGUGGAACCGAAAGACGCAGAGGCCCUGAGCAAAUACGCCACGUUCUUAUGGAGAGCACGGGACGAUCUUUGGGCUGCUGAGGAGACUUUCUUGGAAGCAAUCGAUGCCGAUCCCACCAACUCUUUCUAUGCCGCUAAUUACGCUAAUUUUCUAUGGAACACUGGCGGUGAUGAGACGUGUUUCCCUCUCGACGAGUCUCAGGAAGACACCAUAUAGUUAAGACCGUCCAUCAUCACGUCUAAGUAAACAUUCUAUACAAACUAAUAAAUAUAAAUAUGUGCAUAUUAAUGAUGUAUAUGCGUGUUUAUUAUAGUCACGGUGGUGAAAAGCGUUAAAUCCUUAUGGUUGCAAUUGGUCUAGUGAAAAAGACGAAAAUAUUCCAUCAUCAUGGGGUUAUGGAUCUUCUGUUGGGCCUAUAUCGUAGAUUUAAGAGUAUAAGAGGGUACAUUUCAUUUGUUUGGUCCGCAAAUAGGGUAUUGUCAAAUUACUAAUAGCAACGCAGCUUCAGUCUACUUAGGGGUAUUUAGUAAGGAAAGCAUAGCUCCAUCUUGGGUAAAUUAGGAAUGCUGUAAGGAUGGACUAGUCCUGAAACCAUCUGGUAACUCCAAACCAUAGCAAUGUAGGAUUGCAAAAAUUGUUCCAACAAUAUAUAUAGAGUGGAAAUCUGAAAGAUGUAAUAGUA